rnacentral:lncRNA from 1 species
UUAAUCAAAUAAAUAAAAUAAUACUCAUUUAAAUUCUAUGAUAAUAUGAAGAGAAAAAUGCUAAAUAUCUCAAUUCACAUCUUAUCCACCUAUGUGGCAUCUAAUAUAAUAUUACUUUUCUUUACUUAUGAACAUUAUUUGCUUCGGUAAAUAAAUUUAAUUCUUAUAUAUGUUAGAAACGCAAAUAUACAAAUAGAAAUAAAUAUUUAAAUAAUAAUUACAAAUUUGAAUUUAUAAGUUAUAACUAUUGAUUUAUCUAAUAUUAUUUUAUUGCAUAAAAUUUAAAAUAUGUAUCCCACAUAAAUUUUCUGAAAUCAAUUAAAGUCAUUUUUUUCAAUUACUAAAGUCAAAUGUUCUUUUAUGUCUUUCUU